CAGGCUCCCUGAGGUGUUGACCUCUUUUUAUUGAUUUUGAGGGGGGUUCCUUGUACCUCCUGGACUUGGAUGCCUGUUUCUUCUCCCAGAUUAGGGAAGAGCUCCACUAUAAUUUGCUCCAAUAUACCUUCUGCUCCUCUCUCCCUCUGUUUCCUCUUCUUCUG